rnacentral:sRNA from 1 species
CACACACGGGAACCGGACGGCACGCGUCUUUUCGCGAAGGCGCUUCCGUCCACCGGUGGCGAAUUCUUCGCUCGAUCCCGUGGAGGCUUAACCGGAAAAGGCAAGACAA